GUUUUAAUAGUUUAAUAAAAACAUUGGUCUUGUAAAUCAAAAAUAAGAGAAUCUUUUAAAACU
rnacentral:tRNA from 1 species